AGCACUAAGGUAUAAAAAGGUGAGGACUAUUAUAAUUAUUUUACAAGGCCAUAAUUAUAUAUGUGUGUCAUAUACUUUAAGAUUGCACAAGAAGUGUCAGAGUCACGAAAUGAGUUCAUGCAGAGGGUAAAGACAAAGCAAGUGCCAGAACAACUAUCCAGUAAAACACAAACCAUUCAUAGUGACUCAAAAAGUACACCUGACUACUUUACACCACACAACUUUACACUUUAUAUGGCAGGUCGGAAGAGGCAAAGACGGUGUGAACAGUGUCCAGGAUGCAUUAGUAUACAGACUGCAAUCAAUGUAAGUUUUGUUUGGACAAGCCUAAGAAUGGUGGACCAGGAAUUAAGAAACAGUGCUGCAUCAAACGCAAGUGCAUUCGUACUGCAAAAGCAGAAGCUGAUGUGGCAAAUGUUAUUUCAAGACUACACCAUUUUAGUGGUGCAGCUUCAACACCACAACUUGAAGUGCAAGAAAAGGGGAAAGUAUCAGAAAAGGAAUUUUGUGAUGGUUAUUUCAGGUCUUGCCCGGGAUUUGUGAAGCUACCCAAUGCAGAUAUUCCUGUCCCUCCGCAAUAUGUUCCAAGUUCAGGUGGGCUUUACUCAACACAUGAGGUAAUGGUACGGAGUUACAGACGCCAGCUUUCACUGUCUCUGUUGGGAAGCGAAAAGACAGCAGAUCAUAUACACGAAACAAGAUACAUUAUUAAUCCUGCACCGAACACAGAAGGAUAUAAACUAUUUCAGAAUAUGCUGGGAAAACAACGGAGAAUUGACUACAUUCAAGCUGAUGGAAAUUGUCUGUUUAGAGCACUUUCCAAAGAGAUCUUGGGCCAUGAAAAAUUUCACCAUACAGUCCGACAAACCGACACACACGAGAAAGCAGCCAUUUAUUUAAAAGAUAUGUAUUUGAUGGUACCCUUGAGGCUCACUGCAAGAAAAUGGAAGCUAUUGGAUAUAUUGGGGUACGCAAGUUGAAAUCUAUGCAGCAGCUAACUUGUUGAAGACAGAAAUCUACAUUUUCUGUAAGCAACCAGACAGCCAACGUUACCAUUGGAUUUGCUAUCGACCAAACGAGCACUUUCAUCAACAAGAAAAAUGUUCAGACUUAGUACUUAAUAAGAUCCUUCAGCUUUCACCACCAAAGGGCUACCACAUAGAGCUUAUUCAUACUUUGGAAUGCCAUUUUGAUAGGGUAACCCCUUCUAACCUCUUGCUCACCUCAAUGGACAGUGCUCCUGAGCUUCAGUCAGCAACAUCAACUGUAGAUUUAACUUAUUAGACCAUG